rnacentral:rRNA from 1 species
AAUGAACGCUAGCGGCAGGCUUAAUACAUGCAAGUCGAGGGACAGCACAGGUAGCAAUACUGGGUGGUAACCGGCAAACGGGUGCGGAACACGUACACAACCUUCCUUUAAGUGGGGGAUAGCACAGAGAAAUUUGGAUUAAUACCCCGUAAUAUAGUUGAAUGGCAUCAUUUGAUUAUUAUAGCUACGGCGCUUAAUGAUGGGUGUGCGGCUGAUUAGAUAGUUGGCGGGGUAACGGCCCACCAAGUCUACGAUCAGUAGCUGAUGUGAGAGCAGGAUCAGCCACACGGGCACUGAGACACGGGCCCGACUCCUACGGGAGGCAGCAGUAAGGAAUAUUGGUCAAUGGACGCAAGUCUGAACCAGCCAUGCCGCGUGAAGGAUUAAGGUCCUCUGGAUUGUAAACUUCUUUUAUUUGGGACGAAAAAGGGCCUUUCUAGGUCAACUGACGGUACCAGAUGAAUAAGCACCGGCUAACUCCGUGCCAGCCGCCGCGGUAACAC